ensembl:lncRNA
AAAUUAAUCUGGCCUCAUAAAAAACUGCAUCCAAAAUAUUAUAACACACAUUGAAAAUAUUGGUUAAUUUAUGUUAAUGCAUCAUUAAUAUUAGACAUACCGAGAGUAGAUGAUAUAUUACAUAGCCUUCAUAGUACACACCAUAUAUAAAAGAAAAGAAAAGAAAAAAAAGUUUUGGGCAAACUACAUCCCCCAUGAUGCAGCGCGGUGCUGUGCGCGUGUGCGCGCCUGUGGAAUGAAGAGCGCACUUGUUGAGUUUGGGAACUUCCAGAGGCUUGAACUUCUCGCUUUGGACGCAGCGGAGCUCUCUCAUCAACAUUAUCAUCAGGCCACAUGGAUUCCUGCUGGCUUUUUAUUUCCAGGACUAUGUUUUUCUCUGUCGGAGUGAAUGUUGAUUGUCUCGAGUGUUUUACGCGUUAGACGCGCACCGUUACAGCGCGCAGGAGGAAUGCAUAACAGUACUGCGAGGAUGAAGAAGACGUGCCUUUAAUCGAUUUAUAGCUAUAGGAGAGUUCAUGUUUGGUGGAGAGAUAUGGGAUGCUUUACAGAAGGACGAUUUAUGGACUAUCAUUGGACUUUAAAUGAGACUGGAGAAUGGAGAACAUCGCUGCUCUGCCAAGUGGUGUUCAAGCAUGGACGAGAUAAUCAAGGAGGCGCUUUGACGUUGGCUAGCCACGGGUUGGAGAGGCUGUGGAUGAGAAAAUCGUAAGGGAGGACCACCCAUUGGGCUCGGAGGAGAGAGAUUCCCUACACGCCGUCUCUUUGGAAUAUUAAUGGGCUUCUCCUGGGAAAACUGCCCACAGAAUAGGCCACUCCAUCGCUGUCUCUGUUUCCGCUCAGCUGUCCUGAGGGUACGUGAGGGUGUUCGGUGCAAUCCGGCCUGGAGAAACCUCAAGUACACCUCAAACUUUUGUUUUGAUGUUUCAUUAAGGACUCUUGGAAAUUGAGCAUUUCUUUUUUUCCCCCUAGAAUAUAUUACAGCUUUUAUUACACAAUAAAAAGCACAGGAACGAUUACAUUUAUGAUGUCAAAUUCCUCAGUCUCAAUUUUAUAACCGCAAUCAAUAAGGAGACAUAUUGAUUGAAAUGAGGGGAUCAUUAGCACGUGAGGGAUUGGGGAAUGAUGACAGUGAUGAUUGGGGAGGUGACAAUGAUGCCGAUCACCAGUGGUUGUCAUCACUGGAGCUGCACUCGAUGGCAGAAGCCCAGACGUCUCAUCUGUUUGGCCGUUAUGAGAGUGACCGUCCUAAUGGCUUCCACAGAUGGCAGAGCUCGCUGAAGUCAUUGCACUUUUCUUUCAAUCCCUUUUGCAUUCUUUAUCUGUAUUUGAGUCUCUGUUACUUGCUUUCAGUCAUUCCACUAUUUCCACUAUUUGAGUUUUCGGCAUAUUUAUGUGAAGAAUCCAGUUUUUUUACAAGCCUGCCAAGCUGUGAAUGAAAUAAGAUGAAUUUGAAAUGGUAGGGAG